AUGGACGUAAUGCAAACCGCGGAACCAACUGCUAACCCCGCCAACUCACCCACCUGCAUCAAGCAAAAAAGCAAAGCACAAAUUAAUACUAGCACAAGAACAGAGCUAGAACUCCAAUCAAGAUCCAUGGCAAAUGGAAACACUGGAUUUGUGGCAAAUCAACGUACCGCCCUCGAGUCCGUGGCGACGGCGCAGGUGAUGAACAUCAUGUUGAAGGUGACGAUGAUCUCGAUGACGAGCGCGUGCCAGUGCGGCCCCGUCGGCGUCGUCGUCCCCAGCACCGUGAUCGGGUGCAGCACCGCCCGCAGCACGAACGCCGCGCACAUCGCCCCCGUGAACUGCGCCGCCCAGUAG
rnacentral:rRNA from 1 species